CUGAUUCGAAACCUCGGCC
rnacentral:miRNA from 1 species